rnacentral:rRNA from 1 species
AAUGAACGUUGGCGGCGUGGAUUAGGCAUGCAAGUCGAGCGAGAACCGGUUUCGGCCGGGGACAGCGGCGAACGGCGUAGUAAUGCAUCGGAACGUACCCUCUGGUCGGGGAUAGCUACGGGAAACUGUAGGUAAUACCCGAUGAUCUCUGCGGAGCAAAGGUGAGAUUCCGCCGGAGGAGCGGCUGAUGUGAUAUUAGCUAGUUGGUGGGGUAAUGGCCUACCAAGGCGAUGAUGUCUAGGGGGUGUGAGAGCAUGGCCCCCACGACCGGGACUGAGAUACUGUCCGGACACCUACGGGUGGCUGCAGUCGAGAAUCUUCCGCAAUGGACGAAAGUCUGACGGAGCGACGCCGCGUGCGGGAUGAAGGCCCUUGGGUUGUAAACCGCUGUCAGAGGGGAUGAAAUCUUCGGAGGUACUCCUCCGAAGUUGACAGAGCCUCAAAGGAAGCACGGGCUAAGUACGUGCCAGCAGCCGCGGUAA